GAUGAACGCUAGCGGGAGGCCUAACACAUGCAAGCCGAGCGGUAGAGAUUCUUCGGAAUCUUGAGAGCGGCGUACGGGUGCGGAACACGUGUGCAACCUGCCUUUAUCAGGGGGAUAGCCUUUCGAAAGGAAGAUUAAUACCCCAUAAUAUAUUUGAUGGCAUCAUUAGAUAUUGAAAGCUUUGGCGGAUAGAGAUGGGCACGCGCAAGAUUAGAUAGUUGGUGAGGUAACGGCUCACCAAGUCGAUGAUCUUUAGGGGGCAUGAGAGGGUGAUCCCCCACACUGGUACUGCGACACGGACCAGAAUCCUACGGGAGGCAGCAGUGAGGAAUAUUGGACAAUGGGUUAGCGCCUGAUCCAGCCAUCCCGAGUGAAGGACGACGGCCCUAGGGGUUGUAAACUUCUUUUGUACAGGGAUAAACCUACUCUCGUGAGAGUAGCUGAAGGUACUGUACGAAUAAGCACCGGCUAACUCCGUG
rnacentral:rRNA from 1 species